UACGUAGGGGGCAAGCGUUAUCCGGAUUUACUGGGUGUAAAGGAGGCGCAGACGGCGAUGCAAGCCAGGAGUGAAAGCCCGGGGCCCAACCCCGGGACUGCUCUUGGAACUGCGUGGCUGGAGUGCAGGAGGGGCAGGCGGAAUUCCUGGUGUAGCGGUGAAAUGCGUAGAUAUCAGGAGGAACACCGGUGGCGAAGGCGGCCUGCUGGACUGCAACUGACGUUGAGGCCCGAAAGCGUGGGGAGCAAACAGG
rnacentral:rRNA from 1 species